UAUAAGUUUUAUUCUUGCUUAUUUAUAUUAAUUAUUCAUUAAAAUUAUAUGAAUAUUUUUUAAUUUUUUAUUUAUUCAGUAAUAAGUUUUAUUUAUUAUAUUUAUUUUUAUUAAGUUAAUUGUUUUUAUUAGAUAAAAAUUGUGCCAGCAAUCGCGGUUAUACAAUUUAUUAAAGUUAAUAUUUUAAGUUUUAAUUAUUUAUUUUUAAGGAAUUAUUUUUAAUAAAUUUAGGUGGAAUUUAUUUAUUUUAUUUAUUUUUCUGUAUAAUUUUUGUUAAAUUUUAUUUAUAAACUAGGAUUAGAUACCCUAUUAUUUUUAAUUUAAUUUUUUGCUUGAAUAUUUCCAGCUAAUUUCUGUUAAACUCAAAGAAUUUGGCGGUAAUUAAUUUUUUUAGAGGAAUUUGGUUUUUAAUUGAUAAACCACGAUAGAUUUAACUUUUUUUUUAUUUGUAUAUCUCUAUAAUUAGGAAUGUUAUAAUAAUAAAUUUUCUUUUUUUUUAAAAAAAAUUAUGUUAGGUCAAGGUGCAGUUUUAAAAAAGUAAAUUUGAAUUACAUUAAUUAUAUAUUAUAUUAUUAAAUUAUUAAUUUUUUUAUUUUAUAGAAUUUAAUAGUAAUUCUAAAUAAUUAUUUAGGUUGAAUUUAAUACUAAAUUAUGUACAUAUUGCCCGUCACUCUCAUUUAAGUUGAGAUAAGUCGUAACAAAGUAAUUUUACUGGAAAGUGAGGUUAGAAUGUU
rnacentral:ncRNA from 1 species